AUGGCGUUUGCUAGCUCGUCAAGCAGUCAUCGGUCGCCGCGGUCCAUGGCCUUCUCAGGGCAGUCGCCGGUGCCAUAUCGGGAGCCACCGAUGGCGUACUCGCCUGAGAAGGUGUGCCACUGCAAAGUCAAGGCUCCGAGGUGGAUUUCGUGGAGCAUUGCCAACCCCGGUCGUCGAUACUACAACUGCAGCCAGUCUGUGGGAUAUGACUGUGGCUACUUCAAGUGGCAUGAUGAUCCCCCUGGAUAA
rnacentral:rRNA from 1 species